CCGGAAAAGUCUACGAAUUGGAUCGAGGUUUUGGCUACCCCACCAUUGUCAGGCAUCCCGAGCGCGUUCCCGAAGUCGGAAUCGGCAAAGGUGAGCCGGGACAGCCUUCUUCCUCCGCCCAGCCGCCACAGUGAUUGUCGUCAAGUCUGCCACAGGAGGAUAUUUUUUUGAGGUUAACCUGCUUUCUCCCUCGCAGGUCGAUUACUACUGUUUGUAUAAACUUGUUAAAUCUUAGAAUUUCCGCAUGUGUUAGAAAUGUUUAUUUGAUUUGGGUCUGUAAACUAAAUUAUUAUUUUUGGACCUGUAAACUUAAAUGUGCUAUGCAUGUUUGAUGGAUUGGAUGAGGGAGCUGAGCUCCCAUUUAUUUUAUGUUGAUGAGUAUGUGGAGGGUGAGCUGAGCUCCCCAAUUGACUA